UUUUGGUGUUUUUUGCUCGUGUCGUGAGAUGUUGGGUUAAGUCCCGCAACGAGCGCAACCCUUUUCCUUAUUUGCCAGCGGGUUAAGCCGGGAACUUUAAGGAUACUGCCAGUGACAAACUGGAGGAAGGCGGGGACGACGUCAAGUCAUCAUGGCCCUUACGACCAGGGCUACACACGUGCUACAAUGGUCGGUACAAAGGGUUGCUACCUAGCGAUAGGAUGCUAAUCUCAAAAAGCCGAUCGUAGUCCGGAUUGGAGUCUGCAACUCGACUCCAUGAAGUCGGAAUCGCUAGUAAUCGCGGAUCAGAAUGCCGCGGUGAAUACGUUCCCGGGCCUUGUACACACCGCCCGUCACACCAUGGGAAUUUGUUGCACCAGAAGUAGGUAGUCUAACCGCAAGGAGGACGCUUACUCUUCCCUUUC
rnacentral:rRNA from 1 species